UACGGGGGGAGCAAGCGUUGUUCGGAUUUACUGGGCGUAAAGGGCGCGUAGGCGGCGCAACAAGUCACUUGUGAAAUCUCCGGGCUUAACUCGGAAAGGUCAAGUGAUACUGUUGUGCUAGAGUGCGGAAGGGGCAACUGGAAUUCUCGGUGUAGCGGUGAAAUGCGUAGAUAUCGAGAGGAACACCUGCGGCGAAGGCGGGUUGCUGGGCCGACACUGACGCUGAUGCGCGAAAGCCAGGGAGCGAACGGG
rnacentral:rRNA from 1 species